UUUAAGUAUAAAUAUGUAAUAAAAUUAGUAUUAGUUAUGUUCUUGAAAUUUAAAGAUUUUGGCGGUAUUUUAGUCUUUUCAGAGGAACCUGUUCUGUAAUCGAUAGUCCACGAUUAAUAUUACUUAUUUUAAUUAAUUUGUAUAUCGUCGUAGUUGAAUAUUUCAUUAGGAUUUAAAUAUUCAAGAUUUAAAAUAAUAAAUUAAAUCAGAUCAAGGUGCAAUUUAUAAAUAAGAAGAGAUGGGUUACAAUAAAAGUAUUUAUACGAAUAAAUUAAUGAAAAAGAUUUUGAAGGUGGAUUUGAAAGUAAUAAAAUUGAUUUAGAU
rnacentral:rRNA from 1 species